rnacentral:rRNA from 1 species
AUCGAACGCUGGCGGCAUGCCUAACACAUGCAAGUCGAACGAGUGGCGGACGGGUGAGCAAUGUCUGGGAAAAUGCCUGAUGGAGGGGGAUAACUACUGGAAAUGGUAGCUAAUACCGCAUACCAUCAGAGGUGCCCAGAUGGGAUUAGCUUGUUGGUGGGGUAACGUCUCACCAAGGCGACGAUACCUAGCUGGUCUGAGAGGAUGACCAGCCACACUGGGACUGAGACACGGUCCAGACUCCUACGGGAGGCAGCAGUAGGGAAUAUUGCACAAUGGGCGCAAGCCUGAUACAGCAAUGCCGCGUGUAUGAAGAAGGCCUUCGGGUUGUAAAGUUCUUUCGGCGGGGAGGCGUUACCCGCAGAAAAAGCACCGGCUAACUCCGUGCCAGCAGCCGCGGUAAUUC